rnacentral:lncRNA from 1 species
CUGUCCUUAGGGGGUGCUAGGAAUGGGGAUUGGGGUGAAGAGGAGUUCAGGAAAGAGGGGUGAGGCAUGGGGAACCUGCUGGCUUAGAGGAUGCAAAGGGGCAGGUUUUAUGGACGCUUUAUGCAGGUCCCUUUCAUAAAGAUACUUGCCCAGCCUGAGCAGAAACCCACACCCUAGAGUUUGUUUCUUCCCUGUGGGCACCCCCCGCCCCCGCAGCAGCGGCUUCUUUCAGUGGCAGAGGCUGACUCUUUUUGCAGCUUCUCCAGCACUUGCAAAUGCAACUUCCUUGCACCCACUUCAGACACUUUACAGCUGGAACCCCUUCCUUCAAGGUUAGGGGCCCAGGCCCACAGCCCCUACCUCCAAGUUUCCACGUUUGAAGAAUCCCAACCUUUUCCCUUUGCCUCCUCAGCCUCAGGGGUGACACCUCAGAGCUCCUGUUUACCUCUUUAGCCACCAGGUUAGUAAUUUUACACCCAUGCAAGUGUGUACAGGAAUCUUCCGGAUCCAAGUGGCUGGUGUGGGCGUUGUCUUCUGUCUGAACCCUGGCCCUUGUCUGUGCAGAUUCCUCCCCUCCUGUCCGGGAGAGAAGAGACAGUUUCGAUGUCAUGUGGAGACAGGAGGCUGUGGUCAACGAGGGGAGGCUGUGGUCAACGAGGGGAGGCUGUGGUGGGGGGUGGCGUUCUGAGUCACUUGGCUGGCUUGGGAAUGUGAGCUGGGCCAGGUGCACCUUAGAGAGCCUGGGUGGUGCUGGGGACCUUCAGGCUCUGGAGUCCUGGGUGACCCUGACAGGUGCAUGUACCCACAUCUCCUUGGCCCCUGUCUCUGUUGCUAAUGUCCCUGCACAGACCCCCCCCAGCCGUCAUUUACAGAUUCCCAGCAGUGAAGCACACGGGCUUAGGUUAAAAUCACUGAGCCCCUUGCACAGCGGCCUUCUGGUCCCCUCUGCUGUAAGGCAGGACCACCUGUCAGCCCCUGUCUUCUGGGGACCCCACUAGGCCUAAGAGAUGAGGCUGUGGGGUUCUGUCUUCUGGAGGCCCCACUAGGCCUAAGAGAUGAGGCCGGCGGCGGAGGUCUGGCCUGGAAGAGAAAUGUGGUGAGUCACCCCAGGCCUGACAGAUUCACUCAGACCUGGUCCUUCUGCUCCUAGGCUGAGCCAUCUCUCAGGGACCCUCCUGCCCUCCUUCACCUCUCACCUGGCCUGCCCCAACCAGUUCUCCAGGCAAGCCCAAACCAGUUCCACCUGGUUUGUGACUGUGUUUGGAAAGAGGGUCUUUGCCGAGGUCGGAAGUCCAAACCAAGGUGCUGGAAGGGCUGGUUCCUUCCGGACCCUUCAGGGGAGAAUCUUUCUGCCUCUUUGGCUUCUUGAGGCCCCUUCCUGGCAUUGCUUCUUUCUCCACUGACUCCUACCAUCAGCGCUGAGUCCUGCCUGCCUCUUAUAAGAUCUUCAGAGGCCACCUGGGAUGUCAGAAGCUUCCAGGAACCAGGAGGUAGCUGCAUCUCCUGUCCCUUCCCUGAGUCACCUUGCUGGACUCCACAGUGUGGUGCAGACAAGAAGCUGCAGGGGACAACAUGGAAGGAAGCGGGGAUGGAGGAGAUGGAAUGGGAUGGGCUCUGGGCCCGGCCAAGCAGAGCAGGAUAGGGCUGAGAGUCAUCUGAGCACAGGUGGUUCAAAUGGCAGAGAAGCUCCACGCUGGAGCGGGGAAGAGCUUGGGCUUUCCGGCCAGAAAGCGCAGGUUUUGGCCACGGCUCUUCUGCCACUCACUAGAUGUGGGAGUUUGGAGGCGUUACCCGAGCUCUGAGCCUUACUUUCCUCAUCUGAAAAAUGGGAAUAAUGGUAGGGUUAAAUUAAACCAAAUUUGGUCUGAGGAUGCCUCUGCACUUUGAGUCCAACUGCGACCUUAGCAGCAAAUGAACUGCAGGCCUAGCUUAGGAGUGUACUUUUGUAAGAAAUAGCCGAGUCUUAGCCAAUCACAGCAGCUGAGCUUCUAUAAAUCGCAGGUGGCUGCUGAGUAGUCCAUGUUCAAACACGGCAAACCAAGCUGUGACCAAUGAGCUGUCUCUGCAGCUCACUUCCAUUUUCUGUCUAUAAACACUCCCUGCCCACACUGUGGAGUGGAG